UACGAAGGGGGCUAGCGUUGUUCGGAAUCACUGGGCGUAAAGGGCGCGUAGGCGGCUUUGUAAGUCGGGGGGUGAAAGCCUGUGGCUCAACCACAGAAUUGCCUUCGAUACUGCAUGGCUUGAGACCGGAAGAGGUAAGUGGAACUGCGAGUGUAGAGGUGAAAUUCGUAGAUAUUCGCAAGAACACCAGUGGCGAAGGCGGCUUACUGGUCCGGUUCUGACGCUGAGGCGCGAAAGCGUGGGGAGCAAACAGG
rnacentral:rRNA from 1 species